rnacentral:lncRNA from 1 species
AUGAAGUCGGAGCACAGGUGGCAGAAGGUGGGCUUGGUGAGCGUCACCUUCCGGAAGCCGUGGCCCGGCGCGGCGGGGCCCGGGGGUCCGGCGCCCGCGCGCCCCGACUGCGCGCACGCGCCCCCUCCGCCGCCCGGCUGGGAGCCGCAGGUCGGGUCCCCGGGGCGUGGUGGGCCGCCGGCCGGCCAGGCGCGGGCCCCGGGCUCGGCCGCCGCCGCCAUCGCGGCCGCACGGCCAGAGCGCUCGAGCCCGGAGGGCAGGACCGGGUCCGUGCUGGGGGCCGCCGCCGCCGCCGAUGCGGCGCUUCCGACCCCGUCGCCGAUUGCGCAGGCGCGGGGCGGGGCCGGGGCGCCGGGGGCGGGGCCUGUGGCACUGGGGCGGGGCGGUCGCGUGGCCCCGCCCCACGGCUGUGUCUGCGGACCCCGGCCGGCGCGGAUGGGGCAGUGGGUGCCGUCCGGAGGAGACGUCCGGGGGAGACGUCCGGGGGAGACGUCCGGGGGCCGCGAGUACGCGGGUGUCCGCGCCCGGGCCCCUCCCGCCGGCGGCCGCGGAAGUCCGGGCCGCGCCCUAGGAGUCUGCGGCCGGCGGAUCCGCGGGGCUGGUGCCUGGGCGCGGGGAGGGCUUGGACCCCGGGUUCUCGGGAGCCCGCGUUCUCCCCUCUCCUGCACCUUCGCUCGGGAGGCCCGGGGUCCGCCAGCGCCCGCUGCGGCCCGGCCGCGCCUAAGGAGAGCCGAGCGCCGCACACGUCCUGCGCGGGAAUCCGCGUGCGCCCUGACGGCCGGACCAGGCUUCCGUCCCGCGCUGCGCCCGCCUCCGAAGGCCCCGCAGCGCCUGCCCUCGGCCGCAGACGCCAGUGGCUCCCGGUUCUGGAUCCGGCCGCCGCCCGCGCAGGCCCGGUGCAGGUGUCACCGCAUUGUUGGGGGUGGGCUUGUGUCCCCCAGAACUGCUCCCUCGGUGACCCCGCUGCUUCCCAGGGCGCCAGCCGCUCCCUGCCUGCGGGAGACAUGUGUGCCUUUUACAUUUUCCUGA